CCCCAUGGUGCCCCGCGCCGGCGGGGGCAACGCAUUGGUGACGGCAUUCCUCACGGCCGGCGUGCGGCGGACACCGCUCGUGGAUAAUAACAGGAACGUGGCAUUUAUAAACGUUAAAUACACAGAAAUCAAAAGGCCUCCCAGGGUUUUAACAGGACAGUGGACUGCAGCCAACGCCGUGAGAGGAAAGGGGCGGGGAGGCGCUGACGCGGGUCUCUGCCUGCCGAGGAUCAAGGGAAGGACAGAUACUGUUGUUACUGCACUGAAACCCCGGGGUACCAGAUGAAACAGGGAAGCAGCACUGCGUCAUGGUUAAUUGACUUGUAUUAAUACAGAGAAUUCUUUCACAAGUAGCUCCUGUAUCAGGAGAACUGGUGCCUCCAGACUCUCCAAAUCUGUCCAGAACUUGAGUUGUGCCAAGGGUGACUUCUUCAGUUUGGGAAUUAUACAGAGCUCUCUCUCCAUAGAUCAUUAAGGCAUGAUCCAGUAGGAUUAACAGCAUUAACAGCUUGAUGCAAUAAUUAACAGGAAAUUGCAACAAGCGAACUGCUGCCGAUAACCACACACAGCUCAGCAUGCUGUGGGAAAGGAGCAGCUGUGCCAUCCAAUUUAACAGAGAGCCUGGGACGCACAAACUCGACUCCUCCUGGGACAGGUGAAUUGUUGCUGUCGAUUUAUUUAUCUUGGUGCUGGACCCCUCUGCACAUCAGGUACUGAUAUAUUCCAUAUUGCUGAGUCUUCUAGAGGCAAAUAAAAAAUAUGUAUUUAUUCCUCCUUUCCAUUUUACCUUUGCUUUUGAAAGUCACUGGCACCAAAGAUGUUAUAUUUGGUUAUAAUAAUUUCACAGAAUAUCAAGUGGGUAACAUGAACCUCAUUCUCUCUGUCCCACAUGGUGGGUCACUGGAACCUAAAGACAUCCCAGAUCGAGAGGCUGCCUGUUGGGAUGAGAAGACAUCCUCUUGUAUCUUCUCUCAUGACUGUCCUCCUGGAAGUAUUCAAAAUGCUAUGAAAUGCAAAGUGUCUACCAACCAAGACAGGUAUACUAUAGAGGUGGCUCAGGCUCUUGCUGAAGAAAUCAACAAAAUUACUGGUGGCUUCUUCCCACAUAUCAUCAUAAAUCACCUACAGAGAUUCAAGAUGGAUGCUAACAGGGAAAAGGAAGAAGCCUCCUUUGGAAUUCCCCAAGCAGAACAGGCCUGGGAGGACUAUAUGGCAUUUUUGACCACUGCAAAAUCACAGAUGUCAGGGGGCCUAAUUCUGGAUAUCCACGGACAAGCGCAUCCUGAAAGGUGGAUAGAACUAGGUUACACACUUUCAAAAACGUCCCUUAACUCGGGUGUCUUUUCUGCAUCAGAUUCCUCAAUUAGCCAUCUGGCCAGUCAGCUGGUCAAUGUGUCUUCUGAGAUUUUGGUUUCAGGGAACAGAAGUUUGGGCAAAUAUAUUGAAGGACAAAAUAAGAGUUAUGUUUGUGUGCCUUCUCCAUCCAAUCCUAGCCCAAAUAAUGGAAGCUAUUAUAGUGGUGGGUACAUAACAAAGACUUUUGGUUCCCGGACUUCUGGCACCAUCGAUGCCAUUCAGCUUGAGCUGCCCCAGUGGGUGAGGGCAGCUGAAGAGCGUCACAGAUUUUGUAAAGCCCUGGCAAGGGCUGUAAUGAAAUUCUGGCAAGCUAACUACUGUAGCCAGCAGAAACAUAAUCUUCUGCCAUGCUGAAAGAGGCUGUCCUGUUAAGAUGCCUUUCCUUAACAGAGUAGUGAUCUGGAACAAUCAAACAACUCAUUCACCUGGAAUGUUGAAGUGCAGUAUAAGUGUGGAUGCUGGUAGAAAGAAACCAUCCUGCAAAGGAAUGCAUCAACACAGAGGAAAUCCACAGUUAAUACCAACAAAUCCAACCCAAAAAUUAACACACACCUUUGUACUAGACCCAGCCUUGAAAUGACUGCUCUAAGAUAAGUGGGUGCAAGCAUCACUUGCCUGUGCUUAAUUUCUUUCCAGUCUCAUGAUAAAAAACUGAUCUUCUAAUAAAUUCUGUGCAAUGCCUUAGUGGAUUAUCUGUUCAAAUAAA